GUGAAUUUGUUUAUUCAACAACUGUGUCGUGCUUUUUGCAUAAGAAGACAAUAACCCUGCCUGAUCACUGUUGUUGUAUACAAUAUGCAAGUGUUAUGCAUAAUAUAAUCGAGUAACAUGUCAUUGUCAUGCUAAUUGAAAAUUUUGCCUUAAUUGAACUUUGCAACAUCGAAAUACCAAGUCUGCUUGUAUUCUUAUUUCUUCAUUUGACACAUUGACACAAAGUAUGUACAGAAAGAUACUGAUGCAGAUCUGUCUCCUAAUCCUAGGGAUUUUAG
rnacentral:misc_RNA from 1 species